GAUCCUGGCUCAGAUUGAACGCUGGCGGCAGGCCUAACACAUGCAAGUCGAACGGUAACAGAAAGCAGCUUGCUGCUUUGCUAACGAGUGGCGGACGGGUGAGUAAUGUCUGGGAAACUGCCUGAUGGAGUGGGAUAACUACUGGAAACGGUAGCUAAUACCGCAUAACGUCGCAAGACCAAAGAGGGGGACCUUAGGGCCUCUUGCCAUCGGAUGUGCCCAGAUGGGAUUAGCUAGUAGGG
rnacentral:rRNA from 1 species